rnacentral:rRNA from 1 species
UACGUAGGGACCAAGCGUUGUCCGGAAUCAUUGGGCGUAAAGAGCGUGUAGGCGGCUUGUUAAGUCUUGCGUGAAAUCUCGGGCUCAACCCCGAGCGGUCGUGAGAAACUGGCAGGCUAGAGUGCGGGAGAGGAGAGUGGAAUUCCUGGUGUAGCGGUGAAAUGCGCAGAUAUCAGGAAGAACACCCGUGGCGAAGGCGGCUCUCUGGAACGCAACUGACGCUGAGACGCGAAAGCGUGGGGAGCAAACAGG